rnacentral:lncRNA from 1 species
GUUCACUGGUUUCAAAUUUUGCAAUCAACAGAUAAGUUGUUUGAUGAAAUGCUUCAAAGUGGGAGAUAAGCCUACUUUCAUUACAUUUUCAUCUCUGGAAGUGAACACCAAUUAGGUACCCACAAAUUCAUUGAAGGUUUAUCUUUUCCACCACUCCUUUACAUCGAUAAAAAGAUAAAAACUCACUACUUUAAUUCAGUUCAGAGGUCAUACCAAACUUUGCUACCUAGUUUGAUAUACAUUCACAUGGAAACACAAUAAUGAUAUUCAAAACUAAUAAGUCAAUCAAAAGAUCGAAGCCGUGACAAGAAGAUGAUGUGUGUGUCUGUUGCUCAAGCUAUGCCCUUCUCUGGUUGCUUCGAUAGCUACCUAUGUCAUGUGUGUCUGUUUUGCUUGGUUCUUAUGGGUGGGUGGUCUUUGGUGAUUUUUAAGGCCUUAGAUUACUUGGGAUCAUUUUAGGUGUUUGGGUUUAGUGGGCAUAGUAUUAUUUGUACUAUCAUUUUGUGAAUGUAAUUGUUUAUGAAUUAUGUAUGAAACUCAUGACAGUGAUGCUCUUUUCAUACUCCAUUUUGUUUCAAAAUAUGAAGGAGGAAGUAAUACAGUACUAUUUUAAUGAGUUAUGAGAUAUAUGUUUAUUAACUUA